CCCAGGUCAGGCGGGGGCCACCCGCUGAGUUUUAAGCAUAUCAAUAAGCGGAGGAGAAGG
rnacentral:rRNA from 1 species